GGCAAGGUGGCCGAGUGGUUAAGGCGCCAGAUUUAGGGGACCCUGGUCCUUGAAUCUCUCUGGUGGGAAACCGCGCGAGUUCGAAUCUCGUCCUUGUCA